UUGAACGCUGGCGGCAUGCCUUACACCUGCAAGUCGAACGGCAGCGCGGACUUCGGUCUGGCGGCGAGUGGCGAACGGGUGAGUAAUACAUCGGAACGUACCCUGUUGUGGGGGAUAACUAGUCGAAAGAUUAGCUAAUACCGCAUACGACCUGAGGGUGAAAGUGGGGGACCGCAAGGCCUCACGCAGCAGGAGCGGCCGAUGUCUGAUUAGCUAGUUGGUGGGGUAAAGGCCCACCAAGGCGACGAUCAGUAGCUAGUCUGAGAGGACGAUCAGCCACACUGGGACUGAGACACGGCCCAGACUCCUACGGGAGGCAGCAGUGGGGAAUUUUGGACAAUGGGGGCAACCCUGAUCCAGCAAUGCCGCGUGUGUGAAGAAGGCCUUCGGGUUGUAAAGCACUUUUGUCCGGAAAGAAAUCGCGCUGGUUAAUACCUGGCGUGGAUGACGGUACCGGAAGAAUAAGCACCGGCUAACUACGUG
rnacentral:rRNA from 1 species